rnacentral:rRNA from 1 species
AACGAACGCUGGCGGCAGGCUUAACACAUGCAAGUCGAACGGGCGUAGCAAUACGUCAGUGGCAGACGGGUGAGUAACGCGUGGGAACGUGCCCUUCAGUUCGGGAUAACCCGGGGAAACUCGGGCUAAUACCGGAUACGCCCUUCGGGGGAAAGAUUUAUCGCUGAAGGAUCGGCCCGCGUCGGAUUAGCUAGUUGGUAGGGUAAUGGCCUACCAAGGCAACGAUCCGUAGCUGGUCUGAGAGGAUGAUCAGCCACACUGGGACUGAGACACGGCCCAGACUCCUACGGGAGGCAGCAGUGGGGAAUAUUGGACAAUGGGCGAAAGCCUGAUCCAGCCAUGCCGCGUGAGUGAAGAAGGCCUUAGGGUUGUAAAGCUCUUUCAGCGGGGAAGAUAAUGACGGUACCCGCAGAAGAAGCCCCGGCUAACUCCGUGCCAGCCGCCGCAGUAACAC